CAAGUCGAACGAGAAAGUGGAGCAAUCCAUGAGUACAGUGGCGUACGGGUGAGUAACACGUGGAUCAUCUACCUCUUUGUGGGGAAUAACCGAGGGAAACCUUGGCUAAUACCGCAUAAGCCCGAGAGGGGAAAGCAGCAAUGCGCAGAGAGAGGAGUCCGCGGCCGAUUAGCUAGUUGGCAGGGUAAAAGCCUACCAAGGCAGAGAUCGGUAGCCGGCCUGAGAGGGCACACGGCCACACUGGCACUGAAACACGGGCCAGACUCCUACGGGAGGCAGCAGUGGGGAAUCUUGCACAAUGGGGGAAACCCUGAUGCAGCGACGCCGCGUGAGCGAUGAAGCCCUUCGGGGUGUAAAGCUCUUUCGGCAGGGAAGAUAGUGACGGUACCUGCAGAAGCAGCUGCGGCUAACUACGUGCCAGCAGCCGCGGUAAUACGUAGGCAGCAAGCGUUGUUCGGAGUUACUGGGCGUAAAGGGUGUGUAGGCGGUUGUUUAAGUUUGGUGUGAAAUCUCCCGGCUCAACUGGGAGGGUGCGCCGAAUACUGAAUGACUUCGAGUGCGGGAGAGGAGAGUGGAAUUCCUGGUGUAGCGGUGAAAUGCGUAGAUAUCAGGAGGAACACCGGUGGGUGUAGACGGCUCUCUGGACCGUAACUGACGCUGAGACACGAAAGCGUGGGUAGCAAACAGGAUUAGAUACCCUGGUAGUCCACGCCCUAAACGAUGCACAUUUGGUGUGGGCAGUUCAUUCUGUCCGUGCCGGAGCUAACGCGUUAAAUGCGCCGCC
rnacentral:rRNA from 1 species